rnacentral:rRNA from 1 species
AUGAACGCUGGCGGCGUGCUUAACACAUGCAAGUCGAACGAGAAUCUUUUUGAAUGAGGCUUCGGCCGAGUUUAGAGAGAGGACAGUGGCAAACGGGUGAGUAUAACGCAGAUAACCUUCCCUUUGGCGAGGGACAACCCACCGAAAGGCGGGCUAAUACCUCAUGGUAAUAAUUUCUUACGAAGAGAAAUUAUUUAAAGGCUUCGGUCACCAAAGGAUGGGUCUGUGUCCUAUCAGCUUGUUGGUAAGGUAAUGGCUUACCAAGGCUAAGACGGGUAGCCGGGCUAAAAGGUUGGCCGGCCACAUUGGAACUGCGACACGGUCCAAACUCCUACGGGAGGCAGCAGUGGGGAAUAUUGCACAAUGGACGAAAGUCUGAUGCAGCGACGCCGCGUGAAGGAUG